rnacentral:rRNA from 1 species
CACGGGGGGAGCAAGCGUUGUUCGGAAUCACUGGGCGUAAAGGGCGUGUAGGCGGUCAAGUAAGUGGAAUGUGAAACGCCUCGGCUUACCCGAGGACCUGCAUCCCAAACUGCUUGGCUUGAGUAUGGGAGAGGAUGAGGGAAUUCCUGGUGUAGCGGUGGAAUGCGCAGAUAUCAGGAGGAACACCGGUGGCGAAGGCGGGUCUCUGGGCAGUAACUGACGCUGAGAAGCGAAAGCGUGGGGAGCGAACAGG